GGAAAUGUGGUGACCCCCAUAGCCUCACCAGAUAAAAUUUAUACUCCCUUCAAAAUUCUAUUUAAUCUGUUGAUACUUUGGUGGAAUUCUGGAAAUGCUCCUGUCGUGUCUAGUAAGAAGCUUGAUAGAGACUUGGCAAAUCCAUAGUCGUUCCUAAAUAAUGAAUUUAUUGAGCCUUUCCCUUGAAUAUAGAUGCCAUAAUAUAGAUGCCAACAUUUCAUGAGAGAAAUUUGAUUAAUAUGUUACCAAUGCCCAUCACACUUGAAGGAAAUACUUUGUUUAGAUGUGGAAUGCAGGAAUAAAAUUCCGCAGCCUUUCACGCUCAAAGUUGGAUUGUCAGUUGCCCCCCAAAAGAGGAAUUUUUAAAAAAGAGAAAUUUGUUUUUAAAAAUCAGCAAACUAAUCAACCAGGAUAGAUUUAGAAUUCCAGUCCUGACUGGGAUGCAGGAAAGAGAAUUCUCAGAUGUACUAUUAAGAGGUGGCUGCAUAUGUAGAGAAUACAAAUUGAUUUUAAUGUUAGAAUAAGCACAGCAUCAUCGAAAAUGCCAUCUAAAAAUACACACAUCGUCUCUGCAUACCUAUGGGUGAACCUUGUCAUUUCUUGGUGGCAGUAUGCAUACCCCACCAACACAUUCGCGACAGAUCCCCCGCCGGCUGCCAUGUCGCCAUGUUCAUUUGUCUCUGAGUAGUGAGAAAUAAAGGAAUCUGAAGGUGAUUUGUCCCAUUCUGGGCCGGAUAAAUUAAAAAUUUGUAUUUGUGUGACAAUUCUUUUGCAGUCCUAGGAAAGCAAUAAGAAAGUGAAAAGCAUUUAAAUGAAGCAUUGCCUCUAGAAAAGCUCUUGAAAAAAAAACCGGACAAAUCUAAAUAAUAUUGAUUGAUUGAAAUUGAUUUUUCUGAAUGUUUU
rnacentral:lncRNA from 1 species